GAUGAACGCUGGCGGCGUGCCUAAUACAUGCAAGUCGAGCGAACGGACGAGAAGCUUGCUUCUCUGAUGUUAGCGGCGGACGGGUGAGUAACACGUGGAUAACCUACCUAUAAGACUGGGAUAACUUCGGGAAACCGGCGCUAAUACCGCCGGAUAUUUUGAACCGCAUGGUUCAACAGUGAAAGACGGUCUUGCUGGCACUUAUAGAUGUAUCCGCGCUGCAUUAGCUAGUUGGUAAGGUAACGGCUUACCAAGGCAACGAUGCAUAGCCGACCUGAGAGGGUGAUCGGCCACACUGGAACUGAGACACGGUCCAGACUCCUACGGGAGGCAGCAGUAGGGAAUCUUCCGCAAUGGGCGAAAGCCUGACGGAGCAACGCCGCGUGAGUGAUGAAGGUCUUCGGAUCGUAAAACUCUGUUAUUAGGGAAGAACAUAUGUGUAAGUAACUGUGCACAUCUUGACGGUACCUAAUCAGAAAGCCACGGCUAACUACGUG
rnacentral:rRNA from 1 species